GCAUUGGUGGUUCAGUGGUAGAAUUCUUGCCCGUCAUGCUGGAGACCCCGGUCCGAUUCCCGGCCAAUGCA
rfam:Danio rerio chromosome 4, GRCz11 reference primary assembly.